UGCGACACUUCACUCUUCCCUUCCAUUCUCACUCCCCAAUUUAUUUUUUUCUAUAAUUUCCUUUUUCCAAAUCUCAAACACAUUUUAUAGCAUACGACAAAACAACAUACAAAGAGCCACCGCUCUUCAUAUCUUUACCCUUUUUCUCCUCCUCUUCACUCUACAGUCUCAACUUCCAAUUAUAUAUGGUAUUGGAAUGGAAACUGUUGUUUGUUCCUCCGAAGCUUAAUCGAUUUCGUUUGCAAUCACAUGGAGAUGUAUUAAAGCGUUCCCAAACUCCAAUCUGAAUGCAAAAUCUCAAAUCUGAAAAUUAUAGUGUAUAUAGUUUCGGUACCCACAAAGUCUACAUCAUUUUUAUUUUCAGUGUGUAAUCUUCAAUCGAAUUGAUUUUCAAUCGAUAACGAUGAGUCGACGAUAGGUGAACGAUUUCGGAUGAACGAGACCAGCAUAUUCACCCAAAUUAAAGCUUCAAUCGACUUGAUUUUCAAUUGUUAACGAUGGGUCGACUUAAUUUUCUGCUCUAAUUGAGGCAAGUGUUGCCCAAAGGUGCUUGAUUAGAUGUUGGGCAAGGGCCACACUGUCUUUUUAAGGAGAGCAGAGCUCAAGACCUUUGUGAAUUUCCGUGGGAAUGAGGUUGGGAAAGGUGGAGAUUUAACGCAUGACGAGACUACAAUUAUCACUGGGGCACUUGAAUUGACUGAAAAACUGUAAAAGAUGCCAUGACUCCAAUAUCAAAUGCUUUUUCCCUUGAUUUGGAUGCAAAUCUUAAUUUGUAAUAACUGAUAUAUAUUAUCUUGGUUGUUUAAGUAGACUAGGGAUUCAACAGAGACAAAAAGAAGAAGAGAAAAAAAAAAAAAAAGUAGACUAGGGGGCAUGUCUAUAUACAUUUCAUUCCUUCUGACUUAUCUCUGCAUUAUAGGGAGACAUUGAAUUCAAUAAUGACCAUGGGUUACAGUAGAGUUCCAAUUUAUGCUGGCAAUCCCAGAAAUAUGAUUAGACUUAUUUUGGUAAUUUCAUUUCUUUUGUAUUUAAAGACCAUUUUUUCUUGAAUUUGAUUUUUAAGGUCAUCAGAUUUUUAUGUUUCCUUCUACUUUGAUUAUGUCUGUCUACUUUAUUUAUCUUUACUCUCAGUUUCGAUUUCAUAAUCUUUCUUGUAUCAUUGAAGGGAAGAACAUGUAUAUGUCUACUUAUGAUUUCAGACUAUCUUUCCAAAAGUACAAAGGUAUAUAUAACUAUGUUUUUCUUAUUACUCUUUUUUAAUACAAAAUAUUGUUCACUUAAAUUAGUGAAAUUAUUAAUGUAGAAUAGAAUUUAAGCUCUUAGUAGAUUGAAGCAUAAAAUUGAGCUCAUGUAAACAAUGGUUACAUGAGAAUGGUAGUGGUCCCUCAUUUUAUUGAAGUCAUUUCUCAUAUUUUCUAGCUAUGGCUUAUAAUUUUAACUCUUGGCUCUUGCAGGGCUAUAGCUCAAGGAGUUGUUUUAAAUUCGUAUGAGGCCUUUAAACAUGGAUCACACGUUUAAGGAAAAGAAUUCAAAAGGAGGUGUCUUAUUUAUUUGUAAUUGUUUAAGGCACACAAUUAAAAAUUCUUAAAUAUCUUAUUUAUUUGUUAUUCUUCAAGCCACAAAAUUAAAAA